rnacentral:rRNA from 1 species
ACUCCUACGGGAGGCAGCAGUGGGGAAUAUUGCACAAUGGGCGCAAGCCUGAUGCAGCCAUGCCGCGUGUAUGAAGAAGGCCUUCGGGUUGUAAAGUACUUUCAGCGAGGAGGAAGGCAUUGUGGUUAAUAACCGCAGUGAUUGACGUAC